UAUCACGUCAGAGUCACCUUCUAUUAUAAAGACACAGAGUGAAUAUUUCUACAUUGUUCUUUGCAUCACCAGCCACUACUAUGGAGGAUGUAUUUUGUAGGCUGAGACCAGGUUAUGUGCUGUGCUCCAUGUACAAGAAACGAUAGGAAGUGAAUCAGAGUUCCUGUUGCUCCAGAUUCUCAAGAACAUAUGAUGUCAUCAGUGUUUUAGGUUUUGGUCAUUACAACAGGCAUUAUUGGCAAGUGGAAUGAGAACAAGAAGAUAGUGGCACCUAGAAAGCCAGCGAGACAGAACCGUUCACUCUUCCGGAAAGGGGGCUGAAACCAGGGAGCCGAGUGGUAUUGCUCAGCGGAUCUCACUCCCAUGAAGCCCAACAAGCUAAGAUCCACUGGCUUGAAACUCUCACUGCCAGCACAGCAGUCUGAAGUCAACCUGAUCCAAGGCUGAAUUCUGCAGUUUUUGGCUUCAUUCCAACUUGAAUUUAUAUAGAAUAUUUUCAAUCUGUGGUUGGUUGAAUCCACAGAUGCAAAACCCACAGACGUGAGGGCUGAUUCUACGUGCAAACUGGCCACAAAAGUCCUGGCUGUCUUCAAAGCUGCAUCCUAACGAGGGCAGAGUACCUGAAGUUCAAAUUCUCAGUUGCUGAAAUACAAGUGGAAACCCUAUUCUAAGAGUUUGCCAAUGCAAUCUAAGAUAUUGGUAUGAUUUGGUUGCCC
rnacentral:lncRNA from 1 species